GGAGGAUUAGCUCAGCUGGGAGAGCAUCUGCCUUACAAGCAGAGGGUCGGCGGUUCGAGCCCGUCAUCCUCCACCAU
rnacentral:tRNA from 2 species